CUUAAUUUCAAUGUAACAUUAUUGUUUAAAGUUUGGGCUGCAGAAACAAAGUUAAGAAAAUAACUGUUACCAACAAAUGUGCCAAGGACCUGAAUUCGACUGUGUGGCGGAUCCUACCCUUGCAUUCUGUCAAACCGUCUUGCCAUCGCCACAACCUGGACUAAGGGCAGGGGAGGUGGCCUGUUUCAGGGACUUGUUUCUGAAGACCAUUUCUUCACAGAGCCAUUCAGGAGAACCCUGCAACCCGGGAUGCUGAGUAGCUAAAACGGGCAUCCGAUUGUGAAGGCGGGAGGCGGCGUCGCACAAGGGAGAGGAAUCCACUGCAUUGAGGUUCAACAUCAAGUCUCAGACCACCUGUCUCAAAUCCAGCCUCUACCCACAAGCCACAAGACUGCUCCAACAGCUGAACCCUGGGCUGACUACUGCACUCUACCACACACUUACCAUUUACUCAUAUUAUGUACACAUUGAAGUCAGUUUAUUCUACUGGAACCAUGCAAUAGUUAUGUCACCUUACUGCACUACUAAUGUAUUGUAUAUACGUUCAUAUAAUUCUAUGAUGCAACUGCACUGUAAUUAUCCCACUCACUAUGCACAUGGGCAAACAAAGCUUCUAUAUCCCUAUAGGAUAUCGCUUUUAAUCUUAUUUUUGUUUACAUCUUAUUUCCUUUUAGCUGCGUGCCUCUUGUACUUGAUUUAGUUUAUUUAGUUGUUUUUAUAAGUAUGUUAUAUUUAUGUCACUUAUUUGAUUGCUUUCCUAUGUUACUUAUUUGAUUACUAUGUCGCUUUUGAGAAGCCUGCAAGUCCAUGACAAUAACAUUUGAUUUGACUGGAUUUGAUUUGUCGUAACCUGUGGAUCCAGGUGACCAGGACUGGCCCUUGUUAUCUGAUAUAUUUUGCACACACAAUCAUUUACAAUACUUUUCCACAAACUUUUAUCAAAUAGACAUGGCAUCCAAUUGACCUUAAAUAAAAAACUAUAAAUACAAAAUAAGUGGGUACAUAAAAAAGCAUCUUGCCUCUGACUGGCAGCCGUAGUGUCGCCGGGCAGGAGAAGAGCAGUUGGGCUGUGUAAGGAAACGGCAGUCACGGCAGACAAAGCGGCAUAUCGCAGGCGCCCCGUGAAUGAGGAGAUUGGCAAAAAAAAUCUGUCGCACAUCGCGGGACCACUCUUGAGGGAUGCCAGGCUCCUGCUCAUUGCUAACUGGGUUAAAUACAUUGGGGCUACAAUUACUAUAUAGGAGUCACUUUAACAUUUUACUGCACCGGGCCAAAUCAGAGUUACACAGAGUGAUUCUUGGUAGUCUUAAAUCUAUUUUGAAACAAAAGUAUACACCUGGGCUUAAAAAAAAGAAGACACCUGUACCAUGAGUUGAAAUGUAUUCAAUUUUGAGUUUGCAUGCCAAUAUUACACUUUAUAUACAUCACAGAGGACUGAAAUAACCAAACUGUUUGUAAU
ensembl:lncRNA